rnacentral:rRNA from 1 species
AUUGAACGCUGGCGGCAGGCUUAACACAUGCAAGUCGAGCGGUAGCACAGGGGAGCUUGCUCCCUGGGUGACGAGCGGCGGACGGGUGAGUAAUGUCUGGGAAACUGCCUGAUGGAGGGGGAUAACUACUGGAAACGGUAGCUAAUACCGCAUAACGUCGCAAGACCAAAGAGGGGGACCUUCGGGCCUCUUGCCAUCAGAUGUGCCCAGAUGGGAUUAGCUAGUAGGUGGGGUAAUGGCUCACCUAGGCGACGAUCCCUAGCUGGUCUGAGAGGAUGACCCGCCACACUGGAACUGAGACACGGUCCAGACUCCUACGGGAGGCAGCAGUGGGGAAUAUUGCACAAUGGGCGCAAGCCUGAUGCAGCCAUGCCGCGUGUGUGAAGAAGGCCUUCGGGUUGUAAAGCACUUUCAGCGAGGAGGAAGGUGGUGAGCUUAAUACGUUCAUCAAUUGACGUUACUCGCAGAAGAAGCACCGGCUAACUCCGUG